rnacentral:lncRNA from 1 species
GCUGUGCUGAGAGGGAUGUGCAAUCCAUGCUGGGACCAGUAUGAGACCCGUACAAGCCGUGCUUCUGGCUGGGGCGUGGUGGAGGAUGCCCAGCCUGUGGGGGGAGGCUGCACACUGCAGGGACGGCAGGAGGGGCCCGUGUGUCGGUGCCCGGUGCCAGGGGUGCCCUUCCCGGGCUGGCCAGCCGUGCCACCGCCGUGCCCCGUUAAGGCAAUGCCCUGUGCGCCUGUAACCGGAGCAGCUGGGCGCUAUCCGGCGCAGGGUGAGUCAGUGCUGGAGGCAGCCCCGCGCCGGGAGCAUCCCUGGCUCUGCUGCUCCCAGCACCACCUGGGUGACCUUGGGCUCCGCUCUGCUCACCGUGCCCUCCCCUGCCCUCCUUGCUGCCUCUGCAUCCCCCACGUGCCUCAGUUUCCCUGGGGGACACGGGGGAGGGUGCUCCUGGCUCCCCCCUUGACACCGCCGGGGAGCUGCAGCCAGCCGGCUGCCCUGGCUGGAGGGGCAUUCCUUACCCCGUGGGGGCACCGAGAUUUGCCCCAGCCCCUACAGCCAGCGGUCCGGGGAAUGCGGACACCCAUGGCAGGGACGCAGGGCAGGGACAGCACCUCCUCCUGCGAUGGCACGAACGAGGACCCGAACUCCCUGCGGCAUCCCUGCGGCACUGCAAGCCUCGUUCCCUGGCGAGCGUGGCCCCGGGUGCCAAGGUCACGCAGCGGGAGCAGGGCGGGUGCGGGAUGCGCUCCGCACCCCCGGCGCCGGCAGCGCCCUCCUUCCCCGCCGCUGCCGGGCCUGCCGCCGCGGCUCCCCCCCUGCCGCCGCGGCUCCCGCUGACGUCACCCGCCGGAGCCAGCAGCUAUUUUGGGAACUGCAAAGUCACUGGCGCAAUUAGUCGGCUGGCAAAGGCAGCGGGGCGGCGGGGGGACCGCGGGGACGGCUGCUCCCCACGCCGUGCCGUGCCGUGCCGUGCCGUGCCGUGCCGUGCCGUGCCGUGCCGCCCCCCCCCCCCCCCCCCCCCCCCCCCCCCCCCCCCCCCCCCCCCCCCCCCCCCCCCCCCCCCCCCCCCCCCCC